rnacentral:rRNA from 1 species
AUUGAACGCUGGCGGCAUGCCUUACACAUGCAAGUCGAACGAGUGGCGAACGGGUGAGUAAAGCAUCGGAACGUGCCCAGUAGUGGGGGAUAGCCCGGCGAAAGCCGGAUUAAUACCGCAUACUAUUGGAGCGGCCGAUGUCAGAUUAGGUAGUUGGUGGGGUAAAGGCCUACCAAGCCGACGAUCUGUAGCUGGUCUGAGAGGACGACCAGCCACACUGGGACUGAGACACGGCCCAGACUCCUACGGGAGGCAGCAGUGGGGAAUUUUGGACAAUGGGAGCAAGCCUGAUCCAGCCAUGCCGCGUGCAGGAAGAAGGCCUUCGGGUUGUAAACUGCUUUUGUCAGGGAAGCGGUAACUGAAGAAUAAGCACCGGCUAACUACGUGCCAGCAGCCGCGGUAAUAC